CGUAACAAGGUUUCCGUAGGUGAACCUGCGGAAGGAUCAUUG
rnacentral:ncRNA from 218 species